rnacentral:tRNA from 1 species
GGGUUAAUAACUCAAUGGUAGAGUACUCGGCUUUUAACCGAUUUGUUCCGGGUUCGAGUCCCGGUUAACCCA